AUUGAACGCUGGCGGCAGGCUUAACACAUGCAAGUCGAGCGGAGAUGAGGUGCUUGCACCUUAUCUUAGCGGCGGACGGGUGAGUAGUGCAUAGGAAUCUGCCUAUUAGUGGGGGACAACAUUCCGAAAGGAAUGCUGAUACCGCAUACGUCCUACGGGAGAAAGCAGGGGAUCUUCGGACCUUGCGCUAAUAGAUGAGCCUACGUCGGAUUAGCUAGUUGGGGGGGUAAAGGCCUACCAAGGCGACGAUAUGUAGCGGGUCUGAGAGGAUGAUCGGCCACACUGGGACUGAGACACGGCCCAGACUCCGACGGGAGGCAGCAGUGGGGAAUAUUGGACAAUGGGGAGAACCCUGAUCCAGCCAUGCCGCGUGUGUGAAGAAGGCCUUAUGGUUGUAAAGCACUUUAAGCGAGGAGGAGGCUACUGAGACUAAUACUCUUGGAUAGUGGACGUUACUCGCAGAAUAAGCACCGGCUAACUCCGUGCCAGCCGCCGCGGUAAAAC
rnacentral:rRNA from 1 species